AGAACGAACGCUGGCGGCAUGCCUAAUACAUGCAAGUCGAACGAACUCUUCGGAGUUAGUGGCGCACGGGUGCGUAACGCGUGGGAAUCUGCCCCUUGGUUCGGAAUAACAGUUGGAAACGACUGCUAAUACCGGAUGAUGACGAAAGUCCAAAGAUUUAUCGCCAAGGGAUGAGCCCGCGUAGGAUUAGCUAGUUGGUGAGGUAAAGGCUCACCAAGGCAACGAUCCUUAGCUGGUCUGAGAGGAUGAUCAGCCACACGUGGACU
rnacentral:rRNA from 1 species